UGGCAACGGCAUCGCAGCCUAUGUAUGCUAGGCUACUGUAGCUAACCAGUCCCACACAUUUUACACCGCUUGCUUGACCACGUCAGACAUCAAAACGUCAACGAAAUCACAGAAUCAUGUCGACUUUGUGUCACGAAACGUCACGUUAGCGACACAAACCACGCCCUCAAGUCGGCGAACGCUCGCAGGCUAGACGACAUAGAAGGUACAGGGAAGCAGUGGACAGUGAUGGCGAUGCUGCGGCGACCACCCCCUUGCUGCUAUGAAGGGAAUGCACAAGCAGAUGGAGUCAUAGCAGGGAGACACUGGAAGGAUGGCUUAUCCGAGGUCGGGUUGCGGGGGCAGCAGCCUAAGCAGGGAAGCCCAGACUUCCCUCUCCCCAGCCAUUUUGUCCAACUCCUCCCGGGGGAUCCCGAGGCGUUCCCAGGCCAGCCGGGAGACAUGGUCUUCCCAACGUGUCCUGGGUCUACCAUGUGGCCUCCUACCGGUCGGACGUGCUCGAAACACCUCCGGGUGGCAUCCUGACCAGAUGCCUGAACCACCUCAUCUAUAUUGUUUCACUUAUUUUCUUUAUCAAACAUGGGGUUUUUUCUUAUUGAAAAAAUAAAAAGAGGUAUUGAAUAAAUAAAUAAAUCUGGCUGUUAUAACUUGGAAAAAAAAAACAAUUAAAUAAAACUGUCACAGUAUUUGGCCACAUCGGUUUAUAUAUAAUACAAAAUCUGUUUCACGACUGCUUUAAUAUAUAUAUAUUUUUUUACUUUACUAAUUGUACGUUACACAAAAAUGAACUAGUGUCC